rnacentral:lncRNA from 1 species
UUCAUGAACAACGUGAUGCAGCUGAAUGCCUUCAGGAGAUUUUACAUCAUAUCAGUCCAGAGGCCUCUGAGGUGAGCACUUAUUAAAUCUACAAUGUUAUUUACAGGAAAACAAAUCAGAAUGCUCUGUUGAAAAUGACAUUUUUUUUUCUCAUGGUUUUCCGAGGACAGCUGAGAGACACAACAAAGUGCUCCAAAGGCCACAUCAUCAAUGAAGAGACAAAUCCAUUCUGCACUCUCCCUCUGUCACUGAAACAUACUCCUGAUACAACCUACAGUGUGGAGGGCAGCUUUGAAAGGACUUUCCAAAUAAAAACUUACUCUUGUGACAAUAUGGUGUACUGCAACGACUGUAAACAGAAAACAGAAGCAACAAGUGUGAGUUUUGACCUGAAAAUGAAAACACAAACAAUAUACAGGUCAAUUUUAAUACUGGAAUCAAAUAAAAAAUAUUCUGUGUUAAAGGGUAUAGUGUGUGAUGAUGUUUUUUGUGUUAUUUAGAGAUGUGAGAUGGUGGAACCUUCUCAGAUCUUGAUUCUUCUCCUCAAGAGAUUUGACUUUGACUACAACACCAGGUCACAUUUCAAAUCAGACUGCUGUGUGGAAGUGCCAUGUGAAUUACAGCUGAAGGCACGGAUAAGUCAUUUUCAUUUAAUUUGAAUUGUCUUAGUUGCUUUUAAAAUCAUUUCAUGUUCCUCAUGUUUCUUCAUUGUAGGACAAGACAUACAAACUGUAUGGGAUGGUGAAUCACAUGGGCAGUCUAAGAGGUGGACAUUACACAGCCACCGUCCUGUCUGAGGACAACACCUGGUAUGAGUGUAAUGAUUCUCAUGUCAGCAAGGUGAGGAUGAUUUAACUUAAUCUGUUCCAUUAAGACGUUACACAUUUAAAACACAUCAACAGAAAGAUCAACAUUAAAAACAAAUUUGAUGACAUUGGUUUGCUUUUGUUGAACCGUGCAGGUUAAUCACCAGCUAUUUGCAGAGGACAGGACUUUCAGGUAUAUUUUAAGAAAUGCUUUUUGAUUUUACGAAGAGCACAAAGAACCCAAAAUAAAAGUGAAAUAAAUACUGAUGAUGAAGAAACUACACAGAUGAGACAAAGUGCAGAGGAUGAGGGACAGAUGAAAAAAGAUAGGAAGGAAGAGACACCUCAGGCUAGAGGAGAGGAGGGUGAUGAAGAAAAUGUAGAGACUGACACAUCAAUUAAUAAUCAUACAACAGUGAGUGAAGUGAAAAGCAGUGAAUAUGAUGAGGCAUGGGAAAAUAAAGACAGCAACACACAAGAAAACAGCAAAUUUUAGGUGUUCCAGGAAACUAGACUAUAAGAGGCUUCUGAAAAUGUUGGAGAACAGCCGAAAGAUAAUAAUAAAAAAUAAAAAAAACCCUUCCCAUCGGGCCUAGGGAGGUCAGGAGAGAUAGUAGCAUUGGAGACUUCCCUCUCCUUUUUACGUUUACACACACACGCGCGCACACACACACUUUUUUUACACUGCCUUUUUAAUGUCACACAUAGCGUCGUUCCUGUCAUGUCUCUCACUUGUCUGGUGUUGCAUCACAUUACAAAACAGAUAAUUUAAGAGAUUACACAAAGGUGAUAGUUGUGACCUUCAGGGUUGCAUCUUAGUCUUGUAUUUUAAAUAACUUUUGAAAAUCCACUUUUUUAAACAGCUUUUCAGUGUUUUUAUAUUUGUAUCUGUGUUUUGAAAGGUGCUAUGUUAAUAAAGUUUGUUGUCAUUAUAGGAAGUCUUUUUUUCUGUGAUUUCUUGGCAGAUCUAUGGAUUUCUAUCCACAAUGAUAUCCUCAGAAAGUCACAUUAAUUCCAAGAUAUGUGCAUCAUGUUUUAAUGUGUUCAGACUAGAAGACAAUUUUCAUUAAUCGUGACAAACAGGAGUUUAACAGAUUUUUUAAGUAGGAUACCUCAACUGCCUCGAUGGGAUUAUGUGUUUCACUGGCAACCUGAAGCUCAGUGGACCUUUCCACUGCUUCUGACACGGCCAGCAGAACUGGUGGAUAAAACAAUUACAAUUUACAGUUAAUUAAACUUUAUUUAACAGUUAUAUAACUGUUAACAAGCAAUGUAAUGGUUUAUCAACUAUAUAGAAGCAUAGUAUUUAUUGGAAAGUUGCAAUUGAUUUUCAUAAUACUUUUCAAAUGGCUAAUAAAUACUGUGUAGUUCAUUUAUAAACAUUAUUCGGAUGAGGUUCAACUAAUGUUUUUUACAAUUGCUUAAUAAAUGUUUUAUAAACCAUGGUAUUGUUUCUUAACAGUAAAAUUACUUAAAUAUAAGUAAUCAUUUUCUUUGAUUUUCUUUCUAAGGGCGAGUGUGGAUUUGUCUGUGUGGACUACAUGGUGAGAGGUCCUUCAAGGUGGUUUAUGUAAUGGCUCUUCUGACUCCUGAAGAAGUGGAAGAAUUCAAGAAUAGAAAUAUUCAGUGAUGAUGCCAGCAGUUACUAUGACGUCAAAGUAGUAAGUAUAAGUUUUAGAAAUCAUAAUGACUUGUUUAAAAUAUUCAGCAAGCAAGAGAAUUUAAAACACCUUUAUUUUUCAUGUGACUUCUCUUCAUAGUUUCCUGGUUACAGGUCUCGUGUGGUGAGAACUGAACUCACCAACACGUGUACGUAGCGGUCAGUAAAUCAGUGUGCAUUUAUGUUCUCAAUGUCACGUUUGGCCUUUAUUGCAGGGCGAUUACAGAAUGAUCAUUAAUAAAUUUGGCUCCAGUGAACACCUGUUCACCUGUCCUAAAUCAAAGGGCAAACCACGCUUACAGAUCACAUCACACUAUCAGACAUCCGAUUAUCAUAAUCCUCAUAAUAACACCAACUAAACAGAAACCUCAACACAGUACAUUCCAACACAUGAUCAGCAUAAUUUACAGCAGAAAAUGCAUGAUGUCGCAACAUAAUUGUGAAUCAAUAAGGCAAAUCUGUAAAAUGGCUUCAACAGAGUGUUCAGUGCAGAGCCUGCGCAGCUGACAAAAACAGGCCUUAUGUAUUCUGCUAGCAGUGUUUGAAGGAAGGGAAAGGUCCGCAUCCUCGUUCAGCCCUGCCAGAGCCUGCUGGAAAUGUUGUGGACCUGUUCUGAUUUCGUCUUUGAGGAUGUGGAGUGGGUCAAUGGCUGCCCCUCCAUCCGAGCCUGUCCCCAGAGUAGUAGACCACAGUGAAAUAUAUUUGGCAAGCUAUGUGUGCCUAAACUCCCAAAAAUGUUUAAACAUUUCCAUACAUUUUCUUUUUGAAAAAUUGUAUAAUUCUGGAUUAUUGUACAUAACUAUUACAACAAAGCUGGUUUAAGAUGGCCUUACACAGGGCACCAUUGCUGUAAUCUAUGGUCGGGCAAGUGUGGUUAUUAGAAAUGAAUAAUUAAUGAUGGUAGUUUUAAAAAUUAGAUUGAUAAAAACAUUAUACAAUUAUUAAUCAUAUAAAACAGGGUACCACUGUGGAAUCAGGGAACAACACCCAUCCCAUAACAGUCUCAAAACAAGGGUUUACUUUAAAUGUAAAUAUUUGUUACAUAAGAAUUAAAGGAACAGUAACAGGAAAUUAAUUCAAGCACUGACCAUCACAACAAGCAUUUACCACAAAACAUAUGCUCAAAAUAAUCACAGAAAACUGCUCUGUACUAUAUAACAGAAUGUAUUAAUGUUAGCAAAUUGAUCAAAUCAAUCAUAAAAAAAU